rnacentral:rRNA from 1 species
AUUGAACGCUGGCGGCAGGCUUAACACAUGCAAGUCGAGCGGUAGCACAGGGGAGCUUGCUCCCUGGGUGACGAGCGGCGGACGGGUGAGUAAUGUCUGGGAAACUGCCUGAUGGAGGGGGAUAACUACUGGAAACGGUAGCUAAUACCGCAUAACGUCGCAAGACCAAAGAGGGGGACCUUCGGGCCUCUUGCCAUCAGAUGUGCCCAGAUGGGAUUAGCUAGUAGGUGGGGUAAUGGCUCACCUAGGCGACGAUCCCUAGCUGGUCUGAGAGGAUGACCAGCCACACUGGAACUGAGACACGGUCAAGACUCCUACGGGAGGCAGCAGUGGGGAAUAUUGCACAAUGGGCGCAAGCCUGAUGCAGCCAUGCCGCGUGUGUGAAGAAGGCCUUCGGGUCGUAAAGCACUUUCAGCGAGGAGGAAGGUGGUGAGCUUAAUACGUUCAUCAAUUGACGUUACUCGCAGAAGAAGCACCGGCUAACUCCGUG